UACGUAGGUGGCAAGCGUUUGUCCGGAUUUACUGGGCGUAAAGAGCGCGCAGGCGGCUGGGCAAGUCCGAUGUGAAAGCUUCCGGCUUAACUGGAAAAUUGCAUCGGAAACUGCUCGGCUUGAAGGUGGGAGAGGGUAGCGGAAUUCCCGGUGUAGUGGUGAAAUGCGUAAAGAUCGAUAGGAACACCAGUGGCGAAGGCGGUUCUCUGGGCCUUACCUGACGCUGAG
rnacentral:rRNA from 1 species